rnacentral:lncRNA from 1 species
CGAGGAGUGACAGCUGAUUUCUUUUGCUCCACCCCCUCUCUUUCCCCCAAACACAAAGCAGAAAUUCACCUCCGACAGCACUACUUUCAAGCUCCCGCAGGACACGGUCCACACAGGACACAUGGCACGCAGCCCUCGGCACACCUCUGCAGGGAUAGUGCGGACAGACGCCUCCCUCUCCCUCUCCGGCAUGAAGCACCUCACCUCUGCACCCUGGGCUGCACUGGCCCUCGGCCUGGUCCUUGCCUCCUUCCACUUGGUUUGCUUGGCAGAAUCGAGGAACAGCGACAACUCAACCUUGACCACCCACCACCUAGACCCUGGAACCCUGGAGCAGUGCCCCAAUGUGGAUUUCUGCCCCCAGGCGGCUCGGUGCUGCCGCACGGGAGUGGACGAAUACGGCUGGAUCGCGGCCGCGGUGGGCUGGAGUUUGUGGUUCCUCACCCUCAUCCUGCUCUGCGUGGACAAACUGAGGAAGCUCACUCCGGAUGAGCCCAAGGGUUUGCGAGCAUGAGGCUGAGCAGCUUAGCCCCGAGAAUGUCAGUCGCCACCGAACUGUGGGUAACCGCGGGAGGGGAGUGGUGCUGAUGGCGUUUCUGCCUGGCUACAGGUGUCGUCACCUUUGUGCCUCAAUGACUUUUAAAAGAGAAGGGAGAAGGAAAGGCGGAUCCGAGGAAGGAAGGCCAGUGCUGCUUCACACCUAAAUCCACAGGCACUCAUGCUUCUGAGUGCCGACGAUCUCUUUCUUGAUCUACCGGACCUGCUGCGGUUUUAACCAGUGUUUUCGUCCGCGCCCCAGGGGGGUGCACAAGAACAUGCGACUUUGACUUUUGUCCACGUUCGGAGCUAAACUCAGAAACUUCUCCCCCAAAACAGGUCAUUGUCUUCCAUCCAUUUCAUUCAAGGAAAUCAAUCCCCCCCCCCCCCCCCCCCCCGUGCCCAUUGCUUCUCACCAGCUCUGUUCUUUCUUCGACAUUGUCUUCCGUGGCGGUCUUGCCCCACCGUCCUACAUCGCCCCUGCAUUGUUUCAGGCACGUUGGGUUCUGUUCUCGCUGCCGCGGUCAGGCACUUCCUCCGCACUGGCUCCUCCCCAGGGCAGCUGCCAAUGUGGUGCUGUCGCCCCCUGCUGACGACCUUCGGUAAAGCCUCACCGCCGAACUUCGGACAUGGGGCUGGCCUUCUGCUCUCCACAGGAGUCUGAUCACCUUCCCAGGUCUGUCUCCCUGCGCAUCCGGGACCAGGACUCAGGUGACCCAGUCCUGUCUUCCACUUCCUGCUGCCAGUCCCUCCGCUCGGGGGCUGCCUUCGAACUCCGCCUCCAGAUGGAAGGCCAGCCCUCAAAGUCCAGCCCAAACACCUGCUCUUCUUGCAGCCUUCCCUGAUAGCCUUGGGGGACCCCGAGCUGGUGUUCUUAGGGGUGCGUCCGCCCCACCCUGAAGUGCAGCCCUCAGGAAUAUGCAGUCAGUGUAGACUUCCUCUUGCUCCUGGGGAUAGAAAGCUCCUCGUAAUGUUUG